AGUGAACGCUGGCGGUAGGCCUAACACAUGCAAGUCGAACGGCAGCACAGUAAGGGCUUGCUCUUACGGGUGGCGAGUGGCGGACGGGUGAGGAAUACAUCGGAAUCUACUUUUUCGUGGGGGAUAACGUAGGGAAACUUACGCUAAUACCGCAUACGACCUACGGGUGAAAGCAGGGGAUCUUCGGACCUUGCGCGAUUGAAUGAGCCGAUGUCGGAUUAGCUAGUUGGCGGGGUAAAGGCCCACCAAGGCGACGAUCCGUAGCUGGUCUGAGAGGAUGAUCAGCCACACUGGAACUGAGACACGGUCCAGACUCCUACGGGAGGCAGCAGUGGGGAAUAUUGGACAAUGGGCGCAAGCCUGAUCCAGCCAUACCGCGUGGGUGAAGAAGGCCUUCGGGUUGUAAAGCCCUUUGUUGGGAAAGAAAAGCAGCAGGUUAAUACCCCGCUGUUCUGACGGUACCCAAAGAAUAAGCACCGGCUAACUUCGUG
rnacentral:rRNA from 1 species